UCUCAGCAAUCAUUUGGUGCGACAGUGGCGAGAACAAACUUCUGACGUCUAAAUUCCUGCAUUCAGAUAUAUUAGUAUGCAUGAAUUUAAGUUUCAAAAUGUUGUAGGUUUCCCCAGAAUGAAGCUGUAGCUCGACGCUCUUCUAAAUCUCCUCGUCUUAAUCCACAUUAAAAAAUCCAGGGAACAGCUCACCUGUGUCAGAGAUUUCUCUCCAGGCGGAGAGUGACCCUCUUCUUCAUCAACUCUUCUUCAUCAUCUCUUUGGACUGUUUGAAGAAACUGACCCAUCAGAGACCAGACCCUGCUGAACCUGAACCCAGCUGUGUGUCCAUGAAGAGUCACUGGUCCAUGGAGCCAACACUGCUUAUAAAAAAGACCUAUAAGGGAGAGGCGAAUAGAAAUGGAGGAGAGGCUACUUAAAUUGGAGGAGAGAAGAUUGAUGGAGAGACUUGAAUGGCAGAAGGAGCGAAUUGCAAUGGAAACGGAAAUUGAAAUGUUAAGAAGAUUGAGGACCAGGCAGAGACCAGAGUCUCCUGAACCUGAACCUGAACCUGAACCCAGCUGUGUGUCCUUUAAGAGCGACCGGUCAAAACAACGGUAUAUUAGUUGUAAAGGAGAGCAACCCUCUGCUGAAAAGAGAUUCUACUGAACCUGAACCCAGCUUUGUGUCCUUUAAGAGUGACUGGUCACAUCAUCACUAUAUUAAUUUUAAAGGAGAGCAACCCUCUGCUGACAAAAGAGUGGACCAGGAGAGCUUAGAGGUUCCCAGUGGUCA